GAUGAACGCUAGCGGCAGGCUUAACACAUGCAAGUCGAGGGGCAGCGCGGGAUAGCAUUCUCCUGGCGGCGACCGGCGGAAGGGUGCGUAACGCGUGAGCGACAUGCCCGUUGCACGGGGACAACCGGUGGAAACGCCGACUAAUCCCCGAUGGGAUCCGAUGCUUCAUGGCAUUGUAUUGAAAGUUACGGCGGCGACGGAUUGGCUCGCGUCCGAUUAGCUGGUUGGCGGGGUAACGGCCCACCAAGGCCGCGCUCGGUAGGGGUUCUGAGAGGAAGGCCCCCCUCGGUGGGACUGAGACACGGCCCAUACUCCUAAGGGAGGCAGCGGGGAGGAAUAGUGAUCAAUGGGCGGAAGCCUGAGCCAGCCAUGCCGCGUGCGGGAGGGAGGCCCUAUGGGCUGUGAUCCGCUUUUGCAUGAGGGCAAUAAGGGCGUCGCGCACGUGCGAUGAGGGUACCAGGCGAAUAAGCAUCGGCUAACUCCGUG
rnacentral:rRNA from 1 species